rnacentral:rRNA from 1 species
GACGAACGCUGGCGGCGUGCCUAACACAUGCAAGUCGAACGGAAGUAAGUGCUUCGGUAUUUACUUUAGUGGCGAACGGGUGAGUAACGCGUGAGGAACCUGCCUUUCAGUGGGGGACAACAGUUGGAAACGACUGCUAAUACCGCAUAAGCCCACAGCUCCGCAUGGAGCAGGGGGAAAAGGAGUGAUCCGCUUUGAGAUGGCCUCGCGUCCGAUUAGCUAGUUGGUGAGGUAACGGCCCACCAAGGCGACGAUCGGUAGCCGGACUGAGAGGUUGAUCGGCCACAUUGGGACUGAGACACGGCCCAG